rnacentral:rRNA from 1 species
GCCCAACAGCUAGCCCCCAAAGCCAGAAGCAACAAAUCACCAUUUAUACCCCUUAAUACACUAAUAUUAUGUUUAACAAACCAUUUUUCCCCCUGAGUAUGUGCGACAGAAAAGGGCCCGUGGAGCAAUAGAGAAAGUACCGCAAGGGAACGCUGAAAGAGAAAUGAAAUAACCCAGUGAAGCCUACAAAAGCAGAGAUAUAACCUCGUACCUUUUGCAUCAUGAUUUAGCCAGCGUAACCCAAGCAAAGUGUGCUUUAGUUUGAUAACCCGAAACUAAGUGAGCUACUCCAAGACAGCCUAUUAAUAGGGCAAACCCGUCUCUGUGGCAAAAGAGUGGGAAGAGCUUUGAGUAGAGGUGACAGACCUACCGAACUUAGUUAUAGCUGGUUGCCUGAGAAUUGAAUAGAAGUUCAGCCUCCCCGAUUCUUUAUUCACCUCAGUAUUACCCCUUCUGAUACCUAAGAAGCGAAGAGAGUUAGUCAAAGGGGGUACAGCCCCUUUGAAUCAAGAUACAACUUUUCCAGGAGGGUAAAGAUCAUAAUUACAGAAGGUACAAUAUUUAGGUGGGCCUAAAAGCAGCCAUCCCCGUAGAAAGCGUUAAAGCUCAAAUAUUCAACUACCCCCUUAUUUGGAUCAUAAAAUCUUAUCCCCCUAAUUUUACCAGGCCGUCCCAUGCAAACAUGGGAGUGACCCUGCUAAAAUGAGUAAUAAGAGAGCCUAUGCCUCUCUCCUUGCACGUGUGUAAAUCGGAACGGACACCCCACCGAACCUUAACGGCCCCAAUCUAAGAGGGUACUGAACAACAGACCAAACAACCAGAAAAACAUUCAACAGCCUAACCGUUAUCCCCACACAGGCGUGCCCACAAGGAAAGACUAAAAGAAAGAGAAGGAACUCGGCAAACACAUCAAGCCUCGCCUGUUUACCAAAAACAUCGCCUCUUGUAAGACUUAAAAAUAAGAGGUCCCGCCUGCCCUGUGACUAUAUGUUUAACGGCCGCGGUAUUUUGACCGUGCGAAGGUAGCGCAAUCACUUGUCUUUUAAAUGGAGACCUGUAUGAAUGGCAUAACGAGGGCUUAACUGUCUCCUCUUUCAAGUCAAUGAAAUUGAUCUCCCCGUGCAGAAGCGGGGAUAAUAACAUAAGACGAGAAGACCCUAUGAAGCUUUAGAUAUAAGACAGAUCACGUUAAACACUCCCUGAUAAGGGACAAAACCAGGUGAAUCCUGUCCUAAUGUCUUUGGUUGGGGCGACCGCGGGGAAACAAAAAACCCCCACGUGGAACGGGAGAACUUCCUCCUACAACUAAGAGCUACUGCUCUAAUUAACAGAAUUUCUGACCAAUAAGAUCCGGCAGCGCCGAUCAACGGACCGAGUUACUCUAGGGAUAACAGCGCAAUCCCCUUUUAGAGCCCAUAUCGACAAGGGGGUUUACGACCUCGAUGUUGGAUCAGGACAUCCUAAUGGUGCAGCCGCUAUUAAGGGUUCGUUUGUUCAACGAUUAAAGUCCUACGUGAUCUGAGUUCAGACCGGAGUAAUCCAGGUCAGUUUCUAUCUAUGAUAUGAUCUUCUCUAGUACGAAAGGACCGAGAAGAAGAGGCCUAUGCCCUGAGCACGCCUCACCCCCACCUACUGAAAACAACUAAAAUAGGCAAGAGGGCAUGCCCCCCUGCCGGAGAAAACGGCAU